UACGAAGGGGGCUAGCGUUGCUCGGAAUUACUGGGCGUAAAGGGUUCGUAGGCGGUGUGGCAAGUCGGAAGUGAAAUCUCCAGGCUUAACUUGGAGGCUGCUCCCGAAACUGCCAUGCUAGAGUGCGGGAGAGGCGAGUGGAAUUGCAGGUGUAGCGGUGAAAUGCGUAGAUAUCGGGAGGAACACCAGUGGCGAAGGCGGCUUCCUGGACCUGAUCUGACGCUGAGGAGCGAAAGCGUGGGGAGCGAUCCGG
rnacentral:rRNA from 1 species